UACGGAGGGGGCAAGCGUUGUUCGGAGUUACUGGGCGUAAAGGGCGCGUAGGCGGUGUGACAAGUCAGGCGUGAAAGCCCCGGGCUUAACCUGGGAAUUGCGCUUGAUACUGUCGCGCUAGAGAUCGGGAGAGGAUGGCGGAAUUCCCAGUGUAGAGGUGAAAUUCGUAGAUAUUGGGAAGAACACCGGUGGCGAAGGCGGCCAUCUGGACCGCAUCUGACGCUGAGGCGCGAAAGCGUGGGGAGCAAACAGG
rnacentral:rRNA from 1 species